rnacentral:rRNA from 1 species
UACGUAGGGUGCAAGCGUUACCCGGAAUUACUGGGCGUAAAGAGUGCGUAGGUGGCUUGUUAAGUCUGUUGUGAAAGCCCCGGGCUCAACCUGGGAAUGGCAAUGGAUACUGGCAAGCUAGAGUGCGGUAGAGGGUAGUGGAAUUCCCGGUGUAGCGGUGAAAUGCGUAGAUAUCGUAAGGAAGACCAGUUGCGAAGGCGGGUCCCUGGACAGUUCCUGACGCUGAGGCACGAAGGUCAGGGGAGCAAACGGG